GAUACUUUCGAGAAUUUGACUGAGCUAAUUAUUUACAUAGCCAUCCAUGUCCUUCUGAACUGUUUCAAAUAUUCUGUCUUUCAUACAAAAAGAUACAUGAUAAACUGAAGGUGGGUAACAGAUGCUGGAUAUAUGAUAUGUUUAUGAUCGAUAUAGAAAGAUAAAUAUAGUCGUUUGUUUCAAUGAGAGAUUUUGACAUAAGAGUUGUUGAAAACUCAUUAAUUAACAAACAUUCAUUCACUCAUUGUAAAUUCAUACAUAUAAUUCAUACAUACAAUAUUCAUAUGUAUUGAAUAAUUUUUCAAACAUGGAAGAUGGCCAUGAAACAUUUGAUGUAAAUCAAUGAGUGAUACUGUUUGUGUGUCAGUCUUAAGCUUCUCUGAUCAUUUAACUCUACAGGUAAAGAAAAGAAUAUUUGAGACUAUUUAUUAAGAAAAUUUGAAAUAUAUUAUUAUAAUUGUUUUUCUUUCAUUGUUGAAAAGGAAGGUGAGGGGUAGAUAAUAAUAUGAUGGAUCGUGUUCUAAGUCUAGGGCACUGCACUUGAUUUAAAUUUUCUGUGGAAUCAGUUUAUUUAGUCUCUUAAGUCCAAUCAUAAAGAUGUUUCUACUCCUAGAGGAUCACCAAUCUCUCUACUUGAGAAAAGCAGAGGAUGAGCCAACAGUCAAUGAGGCCUGGCUUUAUUCUUCUAAAGGGCCUUUAAAAUGAAAAUCAAACCAAAGGGGUAAGUCUGUCCCACGCAUAUAUUUUGAAAGGUACAUCUCUGGGUGCUGGUGGCUAAUGAGGAUAUUAGAUGACAGGUGGUCCGAUGCCCUCUGUGCUCUGAGUUAAACAUCACCUAAAGAGCAAUGCCUCUCCCACUACUGUAGAUUCCCACUCACUUUUUCUUUCUCAUCUCCUACUUGUUAAGAAGCUUUAUAAAGUACAUUAAAUGGAUUAGUCAAUAUAUCUUAUAUAGGAAGCUCUUUUAAAACAAUAUCGGAUUGAACAAUCUAAAACUAGUUUGUCUAGUUGCUACAAAGACUCUUAAUGUGUAUUCUCACUCUUUGCCUGAGGUCAUCAUUGAUUAGGAUCUGAUGAAUGUCAUUGUGGAACCAAGGGUUGAAUGAAGUAUUGCUUCCAGGAUUGCAAGCUACAUCCCCUGAAGUCCAGUAAAUGUGUAAACAUGCACAGAGCAAGGCCAACUGUCAUUGUCAAAGUACUUCCCACGGUCCCUAUCAUGAGAAGGCUAUGAUGUGCCUGUGGAGGAGACACACAUUAUGUAAUCAUUGUUCUGGCUGGAGUUACAGUGCAGGAGGCUGCAAGUUCAAUAUAAAUGAGUAAAUAUAAAUUUAUUAAAUGUCUUUAAAUAGAAA